rnacentral:rRNA from 1 species
ACGCUCGACACCUACGGGAGGCAGCAGUGGGGAAUAUUGCACAAUGGAGGAAACUCUGAUGCAGCGAUGCCGCGUGAGGGAAGAAGGUUUUCGGAUUGUAAACCUCUGUCUUUGGGGACGAUAAUGACGGUACCCAAGGAGGAAGCUCCGGCUAACUACGUGCCACAGCCGCGGUAAUCUGAGCGGGCUGGCAAGGC